GGGGUAGACCUCCCACCCUCUGUUUACAAUACCAUUGUGCUUUGGCGGCCCCGUCGCAAGACAACCGGCUCCGGCUGGUCAGCGGCCGCCAGAGGACUCCAAAACUCAUAUUGUCAUUGUCGUCUGAGUACUAUACAAUAGUAAAACUUUCAACAACGGAUCUCUUGGUUCUGGCAUCGAUGAAGAACGCAGCGAAAUGCGAUAAGUAAUGUGAAUUGCAGAAUUCAGUGAAUCAUCGAAUCUUUGAACGCACAUUGCGCCCCCUGGUAUUCCGGGGGGCAUGCCUGUUCGAGCGUCAUUACAACCCUCAAGCUCUGCUUGGUAUUGGGCGCCACCCCCGGGUGCGCCUUAAAAUCAGUGGCGGUGCCGUCUGGCUUCAAGCGUAGUAAUACUUCUCGCUUGGAGUCCGGGCGAGCGUCCUGCCAGAACCCCCAUAUUUUUUCAGGUUGACCUCGGAUCAGGUAGGGAUACCCGCUGAACUUAAGCAUAUCAAUAGACCCGGGAGGAAAGGCAUCAUUGAUGAGAUCAUGCCCCUCGGGGUAGACCUCACACCCUCUGUUUACAAUACCCCCGUCGCUAAAGCGACCCCCUCGCAGGACAAGCGGCUCCCGCUGGGCAGCCCCCACACAAGGACUC
rnacentral:rRNA from 1 species